rnacentral:tRNA from 1 species
GCCGACGUAGCUCAAUGGCAGAGCAGCUGAUUCGUAAUCAGCAGGUUGUAGGUUCAAAUCCUAUCGUCGGCUCC